UAGGGAAUCUUCGGCAAUGGACGAAAGUCUGACCGAGCAACGCCGCGUGAGUGAAGAAGGUUUUCGGAUCGUAAAACUCUGUUGUUAGAGAAGAACAAGGACGUUAGUAACUGAACGUCCCCUGACGGUAUCUAACCAGAAAGCCACGGCUUACUACGUGCCAGCAGCCGCGGUAAUACGUAGGUGGCAAGCGUUGUCCGGAUUUAUUGGGCGUAAAGCGAGCGCAGGCGGUUUCUUAAGUCUGAUGUGAAAGCCCCCGGCUCAACCGGGGAGGGUCAUUGGAAACUGGGAGACUUGAGUGCAGAAGAGGAGAGUGGAAUUCCAUGUGUAGCGGUGAAAUGCGUAGAUAUAUGGAGGAACACCAGUGGCGAAGGCGGCUCUCUGGUCUGUAACUGACGCUGAGGCUCGAAAGCGUGGGGAGCAAACAGG
rnacentral:rRNA from 1 species